AUACGUAGGGGGCAAGCGUUGUCCGGAAUUACUGGGCGUAAAGCGCACGCAGGCUGACUUAUAAGUCGGUAGUCUAAUGCGGAGGCUCAACUUCCGUUUAUCUAUCGAUACCGUAAGACUAGAGUAUGUGAGAGGGAAGUGGAAUUCCUAGUGGAGCGGUAAAAUGCGCAGAUAUUGGGAAGAACACCGGUGGCGAAGGCGCCUUUCUGGACUGUGUCUGACGCUCAGAUGCGAAAGCCAGGGUAGCGAACGGGAUUAGAUACCCCGGUAGUCCUGGCCGUAAACGAUGGGUACUAGGUGUGGGAGGUAUCGACUCCUUCCGUGCCGGAGUUAACGCAAUAAGUACCCCGCCUGGGGAGUACGGCCGCAAGGCUUAAACUCAAAGGAAUUGGCGGGG
rnacentral:rRNA from 1 species